GGGCGUUUAGCUCAGUGGCAGAGCGCCGGCCUUACAAGCCGGUGGUCGGGGGUUCGAGUCCCUCAACGCCCACCA
rnacentral:tRNA from 1 species